CUUGGCUUAGGCUAACGCAGCUAGCGGUGCAUGAGGCUAGUUAAGCUAAUUACGGAUACAGUUUUCAUGAGUUAGUUUAUAAUAUAACUUUCUUGCCAUGGUAGAAGUUACUGAACGUGUCUUUCACUGGAUUGUGUAGAUUUAGCCUUGCCCAACUUGGCAACCCGAUGUAGCUUCGUGGCUGGGGAGGGGUGGGCAGUGCAGACUACUCUCCGUGGUGUUUUGAAAUUGGACGCUCCAGCUAUUUCACACCUCGCUCUCUUUUCCUACAGAAUGUAACGUUACCUUUAACUUAGACGCAAGCCACCUAAACAACAAUGAAGCAGCAGGCAGCACACAUGCAGCUCGGUGGUCUCUCUGCCCUCAUUCCGUGCACGUUGCUGUCGGUGCUCAGCAUCAGUCAGAGAGAGAGAGGGAGAGAGAGAAAAAGAUGAAUGUUUCAAUUUUCCUCCACACACCACAGAGUGAAAUGGAGCCAGGAAAGCCUCCCACGUGGAACUGACCGCAGGAGCGGGACUGAAGCAACGGCCGCCAGUCAAAGGGUUAUCACCCCCUAACGUGCGCCUCUGGUGUUCUGGUUCUGCUGCCGCCGUUGGAUCGGCGUGUCUGCACGCUUACGCUGCUGUCUUUCCUGCCAUUGAUUAGGGGUAUCAAGCCCCAUCUGUGUCCGCUGGCGGCCGCCUCGGAGGAGCACUGACACUGACACUGUGCGUGUGUAAUUAGACAUCAGCUCGGGGAUGCUCAGCGAGCGCCGCGUGACUGAGAGAAGUGGCCCUGAGGCGCACGAGCAAGGUGGCGCUAAGAAGCUAAUUAUCAGUUUCCUGACAGUGAGUUGAACAUCUUUCUCUCUUUCGGUCUCUGUACAUGGAUUCACGCCAGUUCACUUCUUAUAAACUCAUUCAGUAAAUCUAAUUUACUCAGGCUACGCUUAGGGCAAGGCAAAAUUUACGUUUCAAUCACUGAAAUCUGCGGAUAAAAGGUCUGGGAAGUAAAUGUUAUGAAAAGGUGUUUUAGUAUACACUGCCAGGCAAAAAAAAAAAGUCACUUGGAUUUAAAUGAUGUGGGGUUGAUGCUGGAGUUGGUCAGGUUUAGGUUCAGCAACAGUAUGUGCUGAAAGAAUGAGGUCAGCUGACUACCUGAAUAUACUGAAUAUAGACCAGGCUAUUCCAUCAAUGGAUUUUUUCUUCCCUGAUGUCACGAGCAUAUUUCAAGAUGAUAAUGCCAGAAUUCAUGGGGCUGGAAUUGU
rnacentral:lncRNA from 1 species